UACGAAGGGGGCUAGCGUUGCUCGGAAUGACUGGGCGUAAAGGGCGCGUAGGCGGAUGGCACAGUCAGAUGUGAAAUUCCCGGGCUUAACCUGGGGGCUGCAUUUGAUACGUGUUGUCUUGAGUUCGGAAGAGGGUCGUGGAAUUCCCAGUGUAGAGGUGAAAUUCGUAGAUAUUGGGAAGAACACCCGUGGCGAAGGCGGCUCUCUGGGACGGUACUGACGCUGAGACGCGAAAGCGUGGGGAGCGAACAGG
rnacentral:rRNA from 1 species